CCUAAAGGCGCAAUGAAAGUGUCAGGGGCGGUUCUCCUCCGGGAGUUCCCCCCGCAGGGAGGAUGGGCUACCCGUACGUUCACUCGUGUCGGGGCCCCGCACUCCCGGGGCGUCUCGUUCUCAUCACGAGUGGAGACGCACCAGGAGCGCACACGCUGGUACCCGAAAGAUGGUGAACUAUGCCUGGCCAGGACGAAGCCAGGGGAAACCCUGGUGGAGGUCCGAAGCGAUUCUGACGUGCAAAUCGAUCGUCUGAGCUGGGUAUAGGGGCGAAAGACCAAUCGAACCAUCUAGUAGCUGGUUCCCUCUGAAGUUUCCCUCAGGAUAGCUGGCUCUCGGGAAGAGACGAGUCUCAUCCGGUAGAGCGAAUGAUUAGAGGUGAUGGGGUCGAAACGACUUCAACCUAUUCUCAAACUCCCAAUAGAUGAGAGCCCCGGCUUGCUUAAAAGUGAAGCCGCGGGAAUCGGAUCAGAGAUGCCAAGUGGGCCAAUUUUGGUAAGCAGAACGGGGGCUGUGGA
rnacentral:rRNA from 1 species